rnacentral:rRNA from 1 species
AAUACUGGACAAUGGGGGCAACCCUGCUCCAGCCAUGCCGCGUGUGUGAAGAAGGUCUUCGGAGUGUAAAGUACUGUCAGUUGGGAGGAAGGGUUUUAGGUUAAUACUCGGAAGCUUUGACGUUUCCAACAGAAUAAGCACCGGCUAACUCUUUGCCAGCAGCCGCGGUAAUACAGAGGGUGCAAGCGUUAUUCGGAAUUACUGGGCGUAAAGCGCGCGUAGGUGGUUCAGUAAGAUGGGUGUGAAAUCCCCGGGCUUAACCUGGGAACUGCUUUCAUAACUGCUGAGCUAGAGUACGGUAGAGGGUAGUGGAAUUUCCUGUGUAGCGGUGAAAUGCGUAGAUAUAGGAAGGAACACCAGUGGCGAAGGCGACUACCUGGACUGAUACUGACACUUAGGUGCGAAAGCGUGGGGAGCAAAC